CUGAAGGGCUAGCUAAACCACUGAGCCACCCAGGGAUCUCCUAGGUGACAGUUCUUAAUUUUGACAACAAAAUAACUUGAUGGGCAAGAAGUAACAAGGCCAUGUCUAAAAGAAAUUAAAUUUUUAGAGAGAAUUGGAAUUCAGCAACACUUCCCGAAGGACACAAAAAUGCUGAUAGGUAAAGAGGAGGAAGCAAGAUUCUCAGGUCUCAGUUCCCUCCUGCCAUCUCUUCUGCCAAGAUAGCCCUGCCUCUCUCUCCCUAUGCCAGAGAUCCCUAUGGAUUCUAGGAAUGAGUAGUCCAAGACAGAGAAGGCAAGGGCAACAACCAGCACUUUGUCCUUUUUUUUCCACUCACUGUUUCAUCUCUGAAGCCAAGACUUCUACCUAGGCAUGAAGGUAUUUAAAUAAGUAACCCUUUCUCUCCCUCUCACUGAUAGAAAAACUUGGAUAUUUCUCAGGGGAAUUUCUCAUAAACCCCCUCUCCACCACGAAAUCUGAGACAAAAAAUAAAGAGAAAUUCUUUAGCCACUCUCCUAAAUAUAAG